AGACUACUAAAAGGAAAAAGGCUAAGUACCGUAGAUUCUUAAAUGAAAAUUGAUUUCCACCAUUGACCAUGGAACAAGCUCAUCAGUAACAUCGCAUUUAGAGGCAAUCUAAUUGUUUCUUCUUAAGGCUGUGAGCUUCAUUUUGCUUGAGACGUGGUCUAUCCUAUUGACGAUAAAAACCCAAGUUAACAUGAUAGAGCAAGCACACAAUAACUAUUGGUUGAAGAAACUAACAAAUUAUAUUUGACACCCACAUCACCAAUUAAUUGGCAAGUACCACUAUCUUAUUUUAAUGUUUUAAUAACUUAAAUAGUGAGAAUACCUUGGCCACUCCAGAGUUGUCUGGGAUAGAUAGAUAUGCCCUUGGUAGUUUGGCUGGAAACAGGGAAGCCUGUCUUCCUCUCAUGUAUAGCUUUAUGUAUGAAGUACUCUAGCACUGAAUUAACUUUGGCAUAUGAACAAAGAACUCUUGAAGUGCAAUAACUGUGCUCAUCGUCUAUUUUUUCCCUGCUAGUCAAGAUCAAAUUCUACGGUACAUUAGCUAUUAAAAGCACUGAGAAUGUGAGAAGAACAUGAAUUAAACUUUGCAGCUCUGUGAAGAAAAGCUUCAUGUGGCAUUACUUGGUCUUUUUGAAAAGACAAGUGAAGAGGAAGGGGAGAAGAAGAGGAAAAAGUGGGAGGAGGGAGGAAAAGGAAGUGGAAUAAAUGGAAAAGAAGUUCACUGAAACUAGGCUGGAGUGCAAUGGCGCGAUCUCGGCUCACUGCAACCUCUGCCUCCCAGGUUCAGGCAAUUCUCCUGCCUCAGCAUCCUGGGUAGCUGGGAUUACAGGUUUAAGAAAGAAGAAAAUUGUGUUCUCUGCAGCAUGGAUAGAGCUGGAGGCGAUUAUUGUAAGCAGAUUAACUCAGGGACAGAAAACCAAAUACCACAUGGUCUCACCUGUAAGAGGUAGCUAAAUACUGAGUACUAAGGGAAUAGAGAUAGCUACAAAUAGACACUGGGGAUGACCAGAGGUGGGAGGAUGGAAGGGGGAAUGUAUUGCCAACCAAACUAUUGGGUAAUAUUAUGCUUACUAUCUGGGUGAUAGGAUUAAUUGUACCACCAACCUCAGUAUCUUGCAAUACACUCGUGUAAUGAACCCACACAUAAUCUCCCUGAAUCCUUUAAAAUAAAAGUUAAAAUUAUUUUAAAAAAUCUUUUUUAUCCACUCU